AGGAAGCUACCCCCCAAAUGUUGACCUCGGAUCAGGUAGGGAUACCCGCUGAACUUAACCAU
rnacentral:rRNA from 1 species